UACAGAGGUCUCAAGCGUUGUUCGGAUUCAUUGGGCGUAAAGGGUGCGUAGGCGGCGCGGUAAGUCGGAUGUGAAAUCUUGGAGCUUAACUCCGAAACUGCAUUCGAUACUGCCGUGCUUGAGGACUGGAGAGGAGACUGGAAUUUACGGUGUAGCGGUGAAAUGCGUAGAUAUCGUAAGGAAGACCAGUGGCGAAGGCGGGUCUCUGGACAGUUCCUGACGCUGAGGCACGAAGGCCAGGGGAGCAAACGGG
rnacentral:rRNA from 1 species